UACGUAGGUGGCGAGCGUUAUCCGGAUUUACUGGGCGUAAAGGGCGUGUAGGCGGCUAGAUAAGUGUGAUGUUUAAAUCCAAGGCUUAACCUUGGGGUUCAUUACAAACUGUUUAGCUUGAGUGCUGGAGAGGAUAGUGGAAUUCCUAGUGUAGCGGUAAAAUGCGUAGAUAUUAGGAGGAACACCGGUGGCGAAGGCGGCUAUCUGGACAGUAACUGACGCUGAGGCGCGAAAGCGUGGGGAGCAAACA
rnacentral:rRNA from 1 species